CCUACACGCCAAAUUCUUCUUCUCUCUCAUUGCACUUUCCCCUUUCUCCUAUCAUCAGAUCUUCCUCUUCUCCACCUCCUUCUUUUCCUUUCAAUUUUCAGAAAAUUCACCUGCCAUCAUCGGCGAGAUUUCCUCCAAGCCGCAAUUUUCAGUCAAAGACAAAAAAAAGGACUGGAAUUUCAAUUCGAAAUUCGUUUUGGCCUUAAAUAUUGGGCCAACAACUAUUAGGAUCAUCAGAGCUCGGAGUUUUGUAAAUUAACAGUCAAUAUUUCUUGGCCUUUCUCGUUACUAUUUUGAUUAUACUUCUUUUGAUAUAUUAAUUUAUUUUUACAUACAUGUUUACAUAUAUGUGAAUGUUAAUACUAAUUUCUCCCCUUUAUUUGA